UUUAAAAUGGCUGAGUUUAAGCAUUAGAUUUUUAAUCUAAUUACGAUUUAUUGUCUUUUAAAA
rnacentral:tRNA from 1 species